rnacentral:tRNA from 1 species
GGCCUCGUAGUUCAGCUAGUAGAACGUACACUGUACAAAAGCGUAGGCGGUGGCCAUGCACGGGUUCAAAUCCCACCGAGGCUA